ACUGGCAGGCUUGAGUCUUGUAGAGGGGGGUAGAAUUCCAGGUGUAGCGGUGAAAUGCGUAGAGAUCUGGAGGAAUACCGGUGGCGAAGGCGGCCCCCUGGACAAAGACUGACGCUCAGGUGCGAAAGCGUGGGGAGCAAACAGGAUUAGAUACCCUGGUAGUCCACGCCGUAAACGAUGUCUACUUGGAGGUUGUGCCCUUGAGGCGUGGCUUCCGGAGCUAACGCGUUAAGUAGACCGCCUGGGGAGUACGGCCGCAAGGUUAAAACUCAAAUGAAUUGACGGGGGCCCGCACAAGCGGUGGAGCAUGUGGUUUAAUUCGAUGCAACGCGAAGAACCUUACCUGGUCUUGACAUCCACAGAACUUUCCAGAGAUGGAUUGGUGCCUUCGGGAACUGUGAGACAGGUGCUGCAUGGCUGUCGUCAGCUCGUGUUGUGAAAUGUUGGGUUAAGUCCCGCAACGAGCGCAACCCUUAU
rnacentral:rRNA from 1 species